UUAGAUUUUAGUUUAAAAAAAAAUAUUAACUUGUCAAGUUAAAGAAGCUAAAAAACAAAUCUAAU
rnacentral:tRNA from 1 species